AAUUAGUAGAGGUAAAUCCUAGUUAUAUUGGAUAUCUCUUAUUGAUAUUUAUAUUGCAUAUGAUAAAGCAUUCACUAAUGAACAUAAUUAGAAGUUCUAAAUAUAUUUUAUUGUAAUUAUAAUAGAAGCUAAUGAUAUAAUAUUGAUUAUAUUAAUCAAAUAAAGUGGAUUUAUACUUCAUGAACUUUGGAAAUAUAAAAUCUAGUGAGCAAUACUAAGGAAUGAAAAAGAGAAGCUAUGGAGUAUGAAAUAAUGGUU